GAAAGAAUGAAAGAUUGAAGGAUUGAGCUUUGAAGGGUGCAAAACUUAAGCAUUUAAGUGGACCUUUUUCCCCACAAGGCUAAUGAACUAAGGACACAUAUCCCUCCACCCCUUCAAAUAUCUCUAGCAAGCUAAUUAAGAUGAAAUUCAGAAAAUAAAGAAGAGAAGAUACCAAAAUCUAUCCAUUUUUGCUAAGAAAUGCAAAAUCCUCUUCCUCCAAGCCAAGCUCAUGAUUUUCUCAUCCAAAUUCAAUAAACUUGGAGGCAAAAUGAUCACAAGAUCAUAAGGAAGUAAGGAUUUGAAGCUUGGAUCUUGGAGAAUUUAUGGAGGAUAUGAUUCGGUUAUCUAGACAACAUAUCAAGCUUGAGACCCGACGAGACGAUUAUCGACAAGGCACGGAAUUUGAAAGAUCGUGAUAUCGCUUAGCCGUUUUAAAGAUUAUGGAUAGCAAGUGGGAUAGCAUGAUAUUAUUUGGAAAGUCAAGCUUCCGAAGUUCUAAUUCUCGGAAGUCAUUUGCACAAAAAGUGAAAGAAGGUUUUCAUUCUAGCAGUCCGCAGUAGUCUAGAUGUUUUUGUCUAUGUAUUUGACUAGCGCAUUUUAACUCUGAUAUUUUUGUAAAAUAGGGUCACAUGUAUUUUGAUAUAUGAAAAAAAUGAUUUGAUU